GAUGAAAGAACGUAGUGAAAUGCGAUAAGUAAUGUGAAUUGCAGAAUUCAGUGAAUCAUCGAAUCUUUGAACGCACAUUGCGCCCCCUGGUAUUCCGGGGGGCAUGCCUGUCCGAGCGUCAUUACAACCCUCAAGCUCAGCUUGGUGUUGGGCCCCGCCGCCCCGGCGGGCCCUAAAGUCAGUGGCGGUGCCGUCCGGCUCCGAGCGUAGUAAUUCUUCUCGCUCUGGAGGUCCGGUCGUGUGCUCGCCAGCAACCCCCAAUUUUUUUCAGGUUGACCUCGGAUCAGGUAGGGAUACCCGCUGAACUUAAGCAUAUCAAUAAGCGGAGGA
rnacentral:misc_RNA from 1 species